AGCCCAGCGCUUCGCAGACCAUCCCCACCUGCCACUCAGGGCCUGGGUCUCCAGCUCUCUGCCACUCCCAUCCCAUUUCCUCAUCCCCUGGGCCUCCCAACCUCCAGGCUGCAGGACUCUGGCUUAUUAAAAACAGAAAAAUCAACCUCUCAACAUGUCUUUCAUUUUGGUUUUGCAAACGCUGCACUCUCCCGCCCUCCCGCCCUCCCUGCAUCCAUUCAUUUCUCAUCCUUCAUUCUCUACCCCUUGUCCUGUCUCCUUUCCUGCAUCCUGGCCUCUCGCGGUCCUUGGUCCCUCACCCCAGUAUUGCAGAUCUCAUGGUCUUCUUAUCUCAUAGCCAGCCUAUCUCUGGCCCAUGGUUUUGGGGUUCUUCUUGGGUUGUCUCCCACUUUCGACCUGGAAUCAGCAAAGCCCCUUUCGUGCCCUCUUAGCCCCAACUCCAGGGGUGGCUAUUCCGAGAUCACCCUUCAGGCCUUUCCAAAGCAAAGUCCUUCUGUCUGUCAUGGACCACACAGGCCCGUGCCCUGUCCCUGUCUGCAGCCACCACACACACAGGCACCACCGGGAGUGCCAAGGAGGCCCACGGGGUGCAGGACGCCUCUGAUGAGCAGUCUAGCCAAAGAGCUGCCUCCAGGGGCCGUGAGGGUAGUGGCCAGGCUGUUGGACUUCCAAGGGGCCACUCGGGUCUGGUUCCUUCUCUGCAUACCCCAGCAGGGCUGCCUGGUUAACCCCAUCAAACUCAGCGCUUCACGGCGGAUCAGCCUGGCAUUUGGGAGAGACGCCCCCACACACACACAAGCGCCGAAGAUGGAAGCCCCUCGGGACCUGAUGUUGGCAGCAGCUGUGCCUUCUGCUCUGAGGACUUUUCCAGAAGGACGUUUCCUGGCCUUCACCCACCACAGCAUCCCUGCCUUUAAAGCUCUUGUCUUCAGACAUUUCAUGGCCAAAGAGGUGCCAUUGGCUUGCCUCCCUGCUUGCCAUCCUGACCUGCCUCUCCACAGAUUCUUUCUUUCCGGGGACCUGCCUCUACCUGUCUGGUUUGGCUUGGGGGGAGGGGCUCUUUUCUGA
rnacentral:lncRNA from 1 species